AGUGAACGCUGGCGGCAGGCCUAACACAUGCAAGUCGAACGGCAGCACAGGAGAGCUUGCUCUCUGGGUGGCGAGUGGCGGACGGGUGAGGAAUACAUCGGAAUCUACUCUGUCGUGGGGGAUAACGUAGGGAAACUUACGCUGAUACCGCAUACGACCUACGGGUGAAAGCAGGGGACCUUCGGGCCUUGCGCGAUUGAAUGAGCCGAUGUCGGAUUAGCUAGUUGGCGGGGUAAAGGCCCACCAAGGCGACGAUCCGUAGCUGGUCUGAGAGGAUGAUCAGCCACACUGGAACUGAGACACGGUCCAGACUCCUACGGGAGGCAGCAGUGGGGAAUAUUGGACAAUGGGCGCAAGCCUGAUCCAGCCAUACCGCGUGGGUGAAGAAGGCCUUCGGGUUGUAAAGCCCUUUUGUUGGGAAAGAAAUCCAGCUGGCUAAUACCCGGUUGGGAUGACGGUACCCAAAGAAUAAGCACCGGCUAACUUCGUGCCAGCAGCCGCGGUAA
rnacentral:rRNA from 1 species